GUGGACGGCGCGGGGCGCCGGAGGCGAGAACCGGCUGAGAUGCACCCGUGGAACCUGCCAAGGUAGUGCUUGCGAAGGGAACGCCAGUGACUCUGGAA
rnacentral:ncRNA from 2 species